UGAGACCAGUGUGACAGCAGAGAAACCCGAGCCUUGAGGGGACAUUCUCAGGCUCGAAAAUCACAAACCCGACAGGGAAAGGCAUUUGAUCAGAAAAUGACACCAUUCAGGUUAUUUUAAUGCUCUGGAUUUGUGCUGCCCUUUAAGUGGAGCCCCUUCUGUCACAGGACUUUGGUGCCAGGUGGCCCUGGCAGAUGACUUUCACUUGUUUUUAACUGUCGAGCAAGGUCAUGUCUGGUCCGGAUGUGCUAUGAGGGGUCCACACUGUGGACAAGAGGGCAAGCCCUGGUUCAAGUCGGCAUCUUCUGUGCACACGAUGUGCAGUCGAUAGUGGCUUGGGUGGAAGCCAACCCAGAUUUCCACAUCCCAGAAACACUUGUGCAUAAGGUUUGAAGAGUCAAGAUGUGGAGAGAAAACAGAUUUUGUCAUGUGGAACAGACAUCAAAGACAGGAGUUCUCUGGAUUCCAUUGCAUGCUUGUUUUCACUUCCAAGAAAGCAGAGUUCAAGUGUCCUCUCAAACCAGAGACAGUGCAAAGGAAGACCAAGAUAAACAGCAGGUCCUGAGAGGCCGGGAACUGAAGCUUGCUGAGGACAGCGUGGCCGCGGGGUUCCUGAAGCCAGGCAUCUCCAGCUGCCCCUCAGACACCGGGACAGCAGGAUAACAACGCCACUGAUGUUUCGAUUGCAUAGCUCUCGUGUUUUAUAAAGCUCACUCUUACAAUUCACUUCUCAAA